rnacentral:rRNA from 1 species
AGUCGAGAAUCUUCCGCAAUGCGCGCAAGCGUGACGGAGCGACGCCGCGUGGGUGACGAAGGCCUUCGGGUUGUAAAGCCCUGUUACCUACUAUGAACCGCUGGCGGUGAAUAGCUGUCCAGUCUGACGUAAGUAGGAGAGGAAGCACCGGCUAAAUACGUGCCAGCAGCCGCGGUAAUACGUAUGGUGCGAACGUUGUUCGGAAUUACUGGGCAUAAAGAGCGCGUAGGCGGUUUGGUAAGUCUGGUCGUGAAAUCCCUCGGCUUAACCGAGGAAGUGCGCCGGAAACUGCCGAACUGGAGUGCAGGAGGGGAGAGCGGAAUUCCUGGUGGAGCGGUGAAAUGCGUAGAUAUCAGGAGGAACGCCAGUGGCGAAAGCGGCUCUCUGGUCUGCAACUGACGCUGAGGCGCGAAAGCUAGGGUAGCGAACGGGAUUAGAUACCCCGGUAGUCCUAGCCCUAAACGAUGAGCACUAGGUAGAGGCUGCUCCGAUGCACUCUCUGCUGCAGCU